UACGGGGGGGGCAAGCGUUGUUCGGAAUUACUGGGCGUAAAGGGCUCGUAGGUGGCCAACUAAGUCAGACGUGAAAUCCCUCGGCUUAACCGGGGAACUGCGUCUGAUACUGGAUGGCUAGAGUUUGGGAGAGGGAUGCGGAAUUCCAGGUGUAGCGGUGAAAUGCGUAGAUAUCUGGAGGAACACCGAUGGCGAAGGCAGAUCUCUGGGCCGUAACUGACGCUGAGGAGCGAAAGCAUGGGGAGCGAACAGG
rnacentral:rRNA from 1 species